rnacentral:lncRNA from 1 species
AUGUUUCUUUGCGUUCCUGAAACUUCAUCCAAACAAGAAACAAACCGAGAAGCAAAAAACCAAAAGGACAGUCAACCAAUUUCUCUUCAGAGGAGCAGUGCUGGAAAGCCAGAAAUAAAGCCCCCUGCUCCCCAAACUGCUGUUGGCCCACCUCCAAUCGUCUUGCCAUUGAAUAUUGCUGGCAAUGCAGUGCAUUCAGCAUCACCGACACUGACAACAGUCAGUCCUCGGCCUGUUAUUGUUAAUAAUCAGGGCUUUAUCGUCACCUCUCCACAAAUAGUAAACAACAGGGACUUCAUUGCAUCUUUUGGAACACAGUACCCUCCAGGGACAUAAUUUACAAUUGUUCCAGCUGGACAGCAGCAGAUUUUUCAACAGGUCCCCAUCGUACCGAGUGCAGUCCACAGACCUCAGGUGCAACAAAUCAGCAACAACAUAGUGACGUUGUCAAACGUUCAAAUUCCUACGGUGUACACCGCAACGGCUAAUCAGCUUCAGUUUAGCAAGCCUAAUCACCACACACUCCAGACCUUUUCUGCACCCGUGGUCCACAACAUUAACAAAGAUGAAACCGUAGCCAAACGAGGAUUGACAUCAAAUGAAAGUGACUUUGAAGCGAAGAAACUAAAGCUUAACAUGUUAUCACCCAAAGUUACUGUCAGAUUGGAAAAUGGCUUUGUAUCAACCAAGUGCCCCAACUGUCAGAAAGAACUGCAAUCAGAGGAGGCCCUGAAGUUUCACAUGGCGGUGAGUAAAGUACCUGAUGAGCAAGAGCUCAUACACACUACAGAACUCACUCACACGUGCUGUCCCUUAAAGGAGAAGAAAACACUUUGUGGCACAUAUUGUGCAGCUGUUUGUUAAUAAAUGUGUCUGGCAUUUUGCA